UGGCUCAGGAUGACGCUGGCGGCGCGUCUAACACAUGCAAGUCGAGCGCCCCUUCGGGGGAGCGGCAGACGGCUGAGUAACACGUUGGUACCUGCCCUGUACUCGGGGAUAGCCCGGAGAAAUCCGGAUUAAUACCCGAUAGUCUCUACGGAGUAAAGAAUUUCGGUACAGGAGGGGCCUGCGGCCUAUCAGCUUGUUGGUGGGGUAAUGGCUCACCAAGGCUAUGACGGGUAACUGGAUUGAGAGAUUGACCAGUCAGAAUGGGACUGAGACACGGCCCAUACUCCUACGGGAGGCAGCAGUGAAGAAUCUUCCACAAUGGGGGCAACCCUGAUGGAGCGACGCCGCGUGAGGGAAGACGUCCUAACGGAUGUAAACCUCUUUUGUCUGGGAACAAAUUUUUGAGCGUACCAGACGAAUAAGGACCGGCUAAUCACGUGCCAGCAGCCGCGGUAAUACGUGAGGUCCAAGCGUUAUCCGGAAUUAUUGGGCGUAAAGCGUCCGCAGCCGGUUGUAUAAGUCCGAGGUAAAAUUACGACGCUCACCGUCGUAAGCGUCUUGGAAACUGUACAACUUGAGUUAUGCAGAGGUAAGUGGAAUUCCGAUUGUAGGGGUAAAAUCCGUUGAUAAUCGGAGGAACACCAAAAGCGAAGGCAGCUUACUGGGCAUAUACUGACGGUCAGGGACGAAAGCGUGGGGAGCGAAGGGGAUUAGAUACCCCCGUAGUCCACGCCCUAAACGAUGAGUGCUCGGUUUUCGAGGGAUUUGACCCCCUUGAGAGCCCAAGCUAACGCGUUAAGCACUCCGCCUGUGUAGUACGGUCGCAAGACUAAAACAUAAAGGAAUAGACGGGGGCCCACACAAGCGGUGGAGCAUGUGGUUUAAUUCGACAAUAAGCGGAAAACCUUACCUGGGUUUGACAUCCCGAGAACCCUCUAGAAACAGAGGGGUGCCGCAAGGAACUCGGCGACAGGUGCUGCAUGGUCGUCGUCAGCUCGUGCCUUGAGGUGUUCGGUUAAGUCCGUAAACGAGCGCAACCCACGUCGUAUGUUACAUUUUCAUACGAGACUGCCGGCCCCAAGCCGGAGGAAGGUGUGGAUGACGUCAGAUCAGCAUGGCCCUUAUACCCAGGGCGACACACGUGCUACAAUGCCGAGGACAGAGGGUAGCCAAGGGGCGACCCGGAGCCAAUCCCUAAACCUCGGCUCAGUUCGGAUUGUAGGCUGCAACUCGCCUACAUGAAGUUGGAAUCGCUAGUAACCGUGAAUCAGCCAUGUCACGGUGAAUGUGUUCCUGGGCCUUGUACUCACCGCCCGUCAACGCAUGGGAGAAAGGGGUGCCCGAAG
rnacentral:rRNA from 1 species